UACAGAGGCCCCGAGCGUUAUCCGGAUUUAUUGGGCGUAAAGCGUCCGCAGGCGGUUCGUCGUGUCUCGUGUUAAAUAUGCAGGCUCAACCUGUAUGCCGCACGAGAAACUGGCGAACUUGAGAACGGGAGAGGCACAUGGAAUUGCCGGUGUAGUAGUAAAAUGCGUUGAUAUCGGCAAGAACACCAAAGGCGAAAGCAUUGUGCUGGAACGUUUCUGACGCUCAGGGACGAAAGCGUGGGGAGCAAAACGG
rnacentral:misc_RNA from 1 species